rnacentral:rRNA from 1 species
GGAAAAGAAACCAACAGGGAUUGCCUUAGUAGCGGCGAGUGAAGCGGCAAAAGCUCAAAUUUGAAAUCUGGCACCUUCGGUGUCCGAGUUGUAAUUUGAAGAUUGUAACCUUGGGGUUGGCUCUUGUCUAUGUUUCUUGGAACAGGACGUCACAGAGGGUGAGAAUCCCGUGCGAUGAGAUGCCCAAUCCUAUGUAAGGUGCUUUCGAAGAGUCGAGUUGUUUGGGAAUGCAGCUCUAAGUGGGUGGUAAAUUCCAUCUAAAGCUAAAUAUUGGCGAGAGACCGAUAGCGAACAAGUACAGUGAUGGAAAGAUGAAAAGAACUUUGAAAAGAGAGUGAAAAAGUACGUGAAAUUGUUGAAAGGGAAGGGUUUGAGAUCAGACUCGAUAUUUUGUGAGCCUUGCCUUCGUGGCGGGGUGACCCGCAGCUUAUCGGGCCAGCAUCGGUUUGGGCGGUAGGAUAAUGGCGUAGGAAUGUGACUUUGCUUCGGUGAAGUGUUAUAGCCUGCGUUGAUGCUGCCUGCCUAGACCGAGGACUGCGA